GAUGAACGCUGGCGGCGUGCCUAAUACAUGCAAGUCGAGCGAACAGACGAGGAGCUUGCUCCUCUGACGUUAGCGGCGGACGGGUGAGUAACACGUGGAUAACCUACCUAUAAGACUGGGAUAACUUCGGGAAACCGGAGCUAAUACCGGAUAAUAUAUUGAACCGCAUGGUUCAAUAGUGAAAGACGGUUUUGCUGUCACUUAUAGAUGGCUCCGCGCCGCAUUAGCUAGUUGGUAAGGUAACGGCUUACCAAGGCAACGAUGCGUAGCCGACCUGAGAGGGUGAUCGGCCACACUGGAACUGAGACACGUUCCAGACUCCUACGGGAGGCAGCAGUAGGGAAUCUUCCGCAAUGGGUGAAAGCCUGACGGAGCAACGCCGCGUGAGUGAUGAAGGUCUUCGGAUCGUAAAACUCUGUUAUUAGGGAAGAACAAAUGUGUAAGUAACUAUGCACGUCUUGACGGUACCUAAUCAGAAAGCCACGGCUAACUACGUG
rnacentral:rRNA from 1 species